rnacentral:rRNA from 1 species
UACGAAGGGGGCUAGCGUUGCUCGGAUUGACUGGGCGUAAAGGGCGCGUAGGCGGAUAGUACAGUCAGGCGUGAAAUUCCUGGGCUCAACCUGGGGGCUGCGUUUGAUACGUAUUGUCUGGAGUUCGGAAGAGGGUCGUGGAAUUCCCAGUGUAGAGGUGAAAUUCGUAGAUAUUGGGAAGAACACCGGUGGCGAAGGCGGCGACCUGGUCCGAUACUGACGCUGAGGCGCGAAAGCGUGGGGAGCUAACAGG